rnacentral:sRNA from 1 species
AGUGUUGAAGAUGAAGCUGUAGAUAAAAACAUUUUCAGAGACUGUAACAAGAUCGCAUUUUACAGGCGUCAGAAACAGUGGCUUUCCAAGAAGUCCACCUAUCAGGCAUUACUGGACUCAGUCACAACAGAUGAAGACAGCACCAGGUUCCAAAUCAUCAAUGAAGCAAGUAAGGUUCCUCUCCUGGCUGAAAUUUAUGGUAUAGAAGGAAACAUUUUCAGGCUUAAAAUUAAUGAAGAGACUCCUCUAAAACCCAGAUUUGAAGUUCCUGAUGUCCUCACAAGCAAGCCAAGCACUGUAAGGCUGAUUUCAUGCUCUGGGGACACAGGCAGUCUGAUAUUGGCAGAUGGAAAAGGAGACCUGAAGUGCCAUAUCACAGCAAACCCAUUCAAGGUAGACUUGGUGUCUGAAGAAGAGGUUGUGAUUAGCAUAAAUUCCCUGGGCCAAUUAUACUUUGAGCAUCUACAGAUUCUUCACAAACAAAGAGCUGCUAAAGAAAAUGAGGAGGAGACAUCAGUGGACACCUCUCAGGAAAAUCAAGAAGAUCUGGGCCUGUGGGAAGAGAAAUUUGGAAAAUUUGUGGAUAUCAAAGCUAAUGGCCCUUCUUCUAUUGGUUUGGAUUUCUCCUUGCAUGGAUUUGAGCAUCUUUAUGGGAUCCCACAACAUGCAGAAUCACACCAACUUAAAAAUACUGGUGAUGGAGAUGCUUACCGUCUUUAUAACCUGGAUGUCUAUGGAUACCAAAUAUAUGAUAAAAUGGGCAUUUAUGGUUCAGUACCUUAUCUCCUGGCCCACAAACUGGGCAGAACUAUAGGUAUUUUCUGGCUGAAUGCCUCGGAAACACUGGUGGAGAUCAAUACAGAGCCUGCAGUAGAGUACACACUGACCCAGAUGGGCCCAGUUGCUGCUAAACAAAAGGUCAGAUCUCGCACUCAUGUGCACUGGAUGUCAGAGAGUGGCAUCAUUGAUGUUUUUCUGCUGACAGGACCUACACCUUCUGAUGUCUUCAAACAGUACUCACACCUUACAGGCACACAAGCCAUGCCCCCUCUUUUCUCUUUGGGAUACCACCAGUGCCGCUGGAACUAUGAAGAUGAGCAGGAUGUAAAAGCAGUGGAUGCAGGGUUUGAUGAGCAUGACAUUCCUUAUGAUGCCAUGUGGCUGGACAUAGAGCACACUGAGGGCAAGAGGUACUUCACCUGGGACAAAAACAGAUUCCCAAAGCCCAAGAGGAUGCAAGAGCUGCUCAGGAGCAAAAAGCGUAAGCUUGUGGUCAUCAGUGAUCCCCACAUCAAGAUUGAUCCUGACUACUCAGUAUAUGUGAAGGCCAAAGAUCAGGGCUUCUUUGUGAAGAAUCAGGAAGGGGAAGACUUUGAAGGGGUGUGUUGGCCAGGUCUCUCCUCUUACCUGGAUUUCACCAAUCCCAAGGUCAGAGAGUGGUAUUCAAGUCUUUUUGCUUUCCCUGUUUAUCAGGUUGGUUUUUAUUCCUUUGUUCUUUUCUAGUUACCUGAAAGAGUGAAAGAAGU